GAUGAUUGUGUUAUGCUAUAUUUACUUCUGUGAAUAUCUGAACAAUGCAUCCAAAAAUAAACUGCUGACAUUCUGGACAUAACUUUGUAAGGACUGUGUUUGUGUAAAUAGUUUCUGAAAAAAGUGUGGCCAGCUCAAACGCUGAUUGUUGAGUCAUUCGAAACUGCCGUUCUAAACGAGCAUUCUAAAUGAGUGUUCUAAACACACGGGUGUGAUCGUACGCUUCAGGGACCACUGUAGAACGAUCACACCCGUGUGAUGGUACGUGUUUAAUUUCUUUAAACAAUAAAAGCUUAUUUACCAACAUUUCCUUAAAUGGAUAUAUAGCGUUUAGUAAUUCAACUCUUCAUCCCAUCAUGCUCACUCAUUAUGUUUCUACCUCUACCUGCAUGUGGUGCUUAGCAGCAACCUGGGUCUAGCCCUGUCAUCCGGACAGCUGAAGCGGCUGAGAGACAUGGUGGUGAAACAGAGUGGAGCUGGGAAACAUGGCGGCCAGAGUGACAGCUAAUGAGAGCCAGGUGGAGGAUCACUGGAGAGUGAAAAUACAGGUAAUGCAUUAUUUGCAGUACUGAAAAGGAUCUAGUUCAUAUAAAUGGAUUUGUAUCCCAUCAAAAUCUCUACACAUUUUUCUUAGAAUUCCGGUCCAAGCAGCAGAACUGUCAACCAUGGGAGCCAGAGUGACAGCUAGUGAGAGAGAGGUGGAGGGGCUGAAGAGUGAGAAAACAGGUUUGGAGGCCAGACUCAGUGCCAGUGAGAGCCAGGUGGAGGAGCUGAAAGGAGAGGUGGAGGAGCUGAAAGGAGAGGUGGAGGAGCUGAAAGGAGAGGUGGAGGAGCUGAAAGGAGAGGUGGAGGAGCUGCAGAAAGGUGGUGAACCAGAGAGUGGAGAUGAGUCACUAAGACUGAACUGGACUUCCACACACCCAGAAGUUACCUCUGGCCUUAUUACUUUGAUGUAGAAAGAAGCUGUUUGUUUCAUCAACACUUCAUUUGCAUUUUCUUUACAUGACAUUUUAGCACUAGAUGGCAGAUGGACAGCCAGUGAGAGCCAGGUGGAGGAGCUGAAGACAGAGAACAGAGGGAAAGUAAGACAGCUACAUGUCAUUUGAUUACUUUCAUCAACAAAGACAUGGUUUGUUGAAGUCAUCAACAGUUUAUUUGUAUUGUUACAUGAUAUCCUUGACUUGGGACCAGAGUGACAGUCAGGGGAGGAGCUGAAGACAGAGAAUGCAUGAAAGACAUGGAUAUUCAUAUACUUAUAAAGGGAUUUGAAGGCUUGUUUAUGUGAACUAUUUACAACAAGUUUUUGUGUUUUAUUCAAUAUCGGUCAGAAAGUCUAUAUUUUUUAUAUUGUUGCAGUUUUGGGGGGUAGAGUGACAGCCACAGAGAGAGGUGGAGGACCUGAAAACAGUAAAUUCAGGUAAGAUGAACGCAGUCUUGCAGAACAAGACAUGUUACUAUUUUCUGUCAUUUUCUUCAUCAUUUUAUUAACGAUGUUGUCAUUGUUUAUGUAAUACAUAUUUUGUGUAUGAUGGUGAAAAUCAUUAACACUUUCCUGUGUUCACAGAGACACCAAAGGUGGCAUUCUCUGCUGCUUUAGGUAGUACAGUGGGACCCUUCUGAUCUACACCAAUGUCAUCACUAACAUCAGCCAGGCCUACUGACCUCACCCUGAUCUCAACCAAUAUCAUCACUAACAUCAGCCAGGCCUACUGACCUCACCCUGAUCUCAACCAAUGUCAUCACUAACAUCAGCCAGGCCUACUGACCUCACCCUUAUCUCAACCAAUGUCAUCACUAACAUCAGCCAGGCCUACUGACCUCACCCUGAUCUCAACCAAUGUC
ensembl:lncRNA